rnacentral:tRNA from 1 species
GGAGAGGUGCCGGAGUGGUCGAACGGGGCGGAUUCGAAAUCCGUUGUACCUUCACGGGUACCCGGGGUUCGAAUCCCCGUCUCUCUG